CUUGAUUUUUUUAUAGUGAACAUUAGCUUCGCAACAGAGAAUGAAUUUUACAUAAUAGGAACGUGGAAUUAUCUUAUAUAUUCCCAAUGAGUAAAUAAAUCAUUCAUAUCAUUCUACACAGAGACCCCGAAAGCAAAGAAAAAAAAACUUUACUACAAAGCACAUGCUCAAUCCAAUUGAUUUUUGAUAAAAGCAAUCACAAAGCAAAAGGAUAAGUGAGAAUCAGAUGCAUCAUGUGCCAUACAAUAGCUACCAAAUUUAUAAACACGUUUUAAAGGAAAGAUCAGAUCCACUUAAUUUUUCUUCCAUUGUUUUCGAUAGUUUUUCUAUCAUAGCUGGGGAAAAGUAGUUUACCCAAUCUCCUAUUUCACCCUUCCGAAAUAAGUACUUUUUCUCAAUGUUCCUGCCAACUGUUCCAGAUUUAUUCACUUCUAGAUUCUUCAUUUUCUCGAAACUGCAUAACUUUAUUAUGUUUUCAAUCACUCCGUUACUUUCUUCUUCUUCUUCUUCUUCUUCUGUGAAAGGACAAUCCAAGAAUUCUGCAAUUCUUUUCACGUAAAAAUCGACAUCUUCUUUGAGUUCUUCAUACUUCAAGAACAGCACCUUGUUCGGUGUAGCUAUGCUCUGUUUCCAGUAACCUAACAUAUGAUCCCAAGUCGGACCAAACCCAAUUAUUCCCUUGCAGUACUUUUCUAAAGCUUCCUCUAUCGUUACUUCAAUCAAAGAAUCUGACUUUAUUUUAUUGAAGAAGGUCCAAGAUGAAACAAAAGUGUCAAAUGGAUUUCUGCAGAUAUAAAGUAUCUUACAGUUGGAUUCUUUGAUUGAGUUGGAGAGGGAAGGGAAUGGAAUGUGAGUACCAAAAACUCUCGGUUCAGUCAUAUUGGAGAGGUAAGAAAGUUUGUGUUGGAUGUUAUCACCAUGAAAGCUGAUUUUGGAAAGCUGGCAACAAUAACAUCACUGUCUUUUGCCUGAAAGUGAUUUUGAAAAUUGAUUACACCUUCAAUAUGAGUUGAUGGACACCAAAAAUCUUGAAAGAGAUAGAGAUGGCGUGAUGCCCAACCCUUUUCUUUGUGAAGGGGCAGAAGUAGCUUCUCUUCCUCGUAAGCUUGAAGCCCUUCUGUUGAAGCCAUUAGAAGCUCUAGCUAUAAUGUGUGAGUGAUAAGUUACCAGUGAAAAGGUUGAUGAUAAUUCACCUCAAUAAGG
rnacentral:sRNA from 1 species